rnacentral:tRNA from 1 species
GAACGUGGCUCAAGUGGUAGUGUGCUCGCCUGGCAUGCGUGAGGCACUGGGUUCAAAUCUCAACAACA